CGUGUAGGCGGAUGGGGACGUCGGUUGCUGAAAUCCCCCGGCUCAACCGGGGAACUGGCACCGAAACGCCCCGUCUCGAGGGACGUAGGGGGACCUGGAACUUCCGGUGGAGCGGUGAAAUGCGUUGAGAUCGGAAGGAACGCCCGUGGCGAAAGCGAGGUCCUGGACGUCUUCUGACGCUGAGACGCGAAAGCUAGGGGAGCGAACA
rnacentral:rRNA from 1 species